rnacentral:rRNA from 1 species
UGGUGCAGCCAUACCAGUGCUAAUACACCAGAUCCCAUCAGAACUC